rnacentral:lncRNA from 1 species
UCGCAUUAAUUAUAACUAUCCCAUUAACUAAUAUUUCAAUGUUUAUUAUUAUCAUAUGAAAAACUAUAUAAAUGAGGAAAAACAAAUAUAUAUAAACAUGGGAAUCAAAUUGAAAUUGUACUUUACACUGUUAUAUUUCAGCUUUAUCAACUUUGUAUUAUAUGUGUGAUUAUCAUUUAACCAGCAUCAUACUGUGGUAUGCAAAAACAUGUAUAUCCAACCUAUUAGGUCUCUCUU